CCUUGUACACACCGCCCGUCAAGCCAUGGGAGCUUGGGGCGCCUGAAGACGGUGACUUUGAUGGGAGCUGCCUAAGGCGAAACAGGUGACUGGGGCU
rnacentral:rRNA from 1 species